rnacentral:rRNA from 1 species
CAGUCGCCGCGGUAACACGAAGGGUGCAAGCGUUAAUCGGAAUUACUGGGCGUAAAGGGUGCGUAGGCGGUUAGUUAAGUCUGUCGUGAAAUCCCCGGGCUCAACCUGGGAAUGGCGAUGGAUACUGGCUGGCUAGAGUGUGUCAGAGGAUGGUGGAAUUUCCGGUGUAGCAGUGAAAUGCGUAGAGAUCGGAAGGAACAUCUGUGGCGAAGGCGACUAUCUGGGCCAACACUGACGCUGAGGAGCGAAAGCGUGGGGAGCGAACGGGAUUAGAUACCCCGGUAGUCCCUGUCUCUUAUAA